AUUGAACGCUGGCGGCAGGCCUAACACAUGCAAGUCGAACGGCAUCGGGGGGUAGCUUGCUACCCCGCCGGCGAGUGGCGGACGGGUGAGUAAUGCCUGGGGAGCUGCCCAAUCGAGGGGGAUACCAGUUGGAAACGACUGCUAAUACCGCAUACGCCCUGAGGGGGAAAGGUGGGGAUCUUCGGACCUACCGCGAUCGGAUGCACCCAGGUGGGAUUAGCUAGUUGGUGAGGUAACGGCUCACCAAGGCGACGAUCUCUAGCUGGUCUGAGAGGAUGACCAGCCACACUGGAACUGAGACACGGUCCAGACUCCUACGGGAGGCAGCAGUGGGGAAUAUUGCACAAUGGGGGGAAACCCUGAUGCAGCCAUGCCGCGUGUGUGAAGAAGGCC
rnacentral:rRNA from 1 species